GACGAACGCUGGCGGCGUGCUUAACACAUGCAAGUCGAACGGUAAGGCCCUUCGGGGUACACGAGUGGCGAACGGGUGAGUAACACGUGGGUGAUCUGCCCUGCACUUCGGGAUAAGCCUGGGAAACUGGGUCUAAUACCGGAUAGGACCACUGCCUGCAUGGGUGGUGGUGGCAAGCUUUUGCGGUGUGGGAUGGGCCCGAGGCCUAUCGGCUUGUUGGUGGGGUGAUGGCCUACCAAGGAGACGACGGGUAGCCGGCCUGGGAGGGUGACCGGCCACACUGUGACUGGGGUACGGCCCAGACGCCUACGGGGGGCAGCAGUGGGGAGUAUUGCACAAUGGUCGCAAGCCUGAUGCAGCGACGCCGCGUGAGGGAUGACGGCCUUCGGGUUGUAAACCUCUUUCAGCACCGACGAAGCGCAAGUGACGGUAGGUGCAGAAGAAGGACCGGCCAACUACGUGCCAGCCGCCGCCGUAA
rnacentral:rRNA from 1 species